ACCUUGCUUUGGUCAAGGUUAUACAAGUAGCUGUGCUCCCCAGUUAGAACCUCCAAACAAGCUCCCAAGGUCCAUUUGCAGGAGAACAUAGGGUAACCAAGC
rnacentral:sRNA from 1 species